rnacentral:rRNA from 1 species
GACAGAGGGUGCAAACGUUGUUCGGAAUUACUGGGCGUAAAGCGCACGUAGGCGGAUAUUUAAGUCGGGGGUGAAAUCCCGGGGCUCAACCCCGGAACCGCCUUCGAUACUGGGUAUCUUGAGUUCGGAAGAGGUGAGUGGAAUUGCGAGUGUAGAGGUGAAAUUCGUAGAUAUUCGCAGGAACACCAGUGGCGAAGGCGGCUCACUGGCCCGAUACUGACGCUGAGGCACGAAAGCGUGGGGAGCAAACAGG